GCGCGAAAACUUUACAAUGMGGGAAACCGUGAUAAGGGAAUCUCGAGUGCCAGCAUAUAAUGUUGGCUGUCCAGAUGCCUAAAAAGCAUCUGUUAGCAAGGGCCGGGCAAGACCGGUGCCAGCCGCCGCGGUAACACCGGCGGCCCGAGUGGUAACCGCUUUUAUUGGGUCUAAAGGGUCUGUAGCCGGCCAUGUAAGUCCCUUGGGAAAUCUGGCAGCUCAACUGUCAGGCUGYUAGGGGAUACUGCUUGGCUUGGGMCCGGGAGAGGUGAGAGGUACCUUGAGGGUAGGGGUGAAAUCUUGUGAUCCUCGGGGGACCACCAGUGGCGAAGGCGUCUCACCAGAACGGGUCYGACGGUAAGGGACGAAAGCUAGGGGCACGAACCGGAUUAGAUACCCGGGUAGUCCUA
rnacentral:rRNA from 1 species